rnacentral:rRNA from 1 species
GACGAACGCUGGCGGCGUGCCUAAUACAUGCAAGUCGAACGCAGUGGGGACGGGUGAGUAACCCGUGGGUAACCUCCCAUCAGAGGGGAUAACACUUGGAAACAGGUGCUAAACCGAUACUGAUGGAUGGACCCGGGGUGCAUUAGCUAGUUGGUGGGGUAACGGCUCACCAAGGCCACGAUGCAUAGCCGACCUGAGAGGGUGAUCGGCCACACUGGGACUGAGACACGGCCCAGACUCCUACGGGAGGCAGCAGUGGGGAAUAUUGGGCAAUGGACGAAAGUCUGACGGAGCAACGCCGCGUGAGUGAAGAAGGUUUUCGGAUUGUAAAACACUGUUGUUAGAGAAGCGGUAUCUAACCAGAAAGCCACGGCUAACUACGUGCCAGCAGCCGCGGUAAUAC